rnacentral:lncRNA from 1 species
AUGGACAGACCCACGGAUGGAUGGACAGACCCAUGGAUGGAUGAAGGAAUGGAUGGAUCCAUGGAUGGGUGGACAGACCCAUGGAUGGAUGGACAGACCCAUGGAUGGAUGAAGGAAUGGAUCACUCCAUGGAUCCAUGGCUCCAACCUGGCCUUGGACACUUCCAAGCAUUUCCCACAACCUCUGUGGGAAAUCCAUCCCACCCUUUACAGGAAGGAAUUUCUUCCCAAUCACUUUGAAACCACUCCUGGGUGUUCUCCUCCUGUUUAUUCCCUGUUUUUGAUGGUUUUUCCCUGUUUUUUCCUCUCCAGGUGCCAGCAUGUCCACGGAUGGUGGCUUUGGCACGGGGAGCAGCGAUGCCCAGCAGAGCCUGCAGAGCUUCUGGCCACGGGUGAUGGAGGAGAUCCGGAACCUGACCGUGAGGAACGACAUUGCCAUGGCCAUCACCAAAUUCGAUCAAUUUGAUUUUCUGAUCGAUAUCGUGCCCAGGGAUGAGCUGAAACCUCCAAAAAGGCAGGAGGAGGUGCUCCAGGCACCUGAUUUCCACAGCUCUGAACCACUGGCACUUUUACACAUUACCCUGACUUGGUUGAAGUGUUCUGAGGGAGAUGUUGAAGCUCCUUUGCCAGGGGUUGUGUCUGGGGAGAUGUUUGGCCAUGGGUGCCAUGUUGCCAUGCCCAUUCCUGGUGUUUCCCUGCAUGAGGAGGUGCACCAGGGCACCUGAUUUCCACAGAGCUGAACAAUGGAGCUCACCCUAACUGGGUUGAAGUGUUCUGAGGGAGAUGUUGAAGCACUUUUGCCAGGGGUUGUGUCUGGGGAGAUGUUUGGCCAUGGGGCAGGUGGGAUCCAUGUUCCCAUGCCCAUUCCUGGUGUUUCCCUGCAGAUGCACC